rnacentral:rRNA from 1 species
AUGUCAAGUCCCAUUGGGACGCACGGCAGCACGGGGAGAGAGGGCACUAACUGUAGGCAAGGAUCAAUGUCCGCAUCCGCUGUCAGCACCGUUCUUGCGAAUGUGGGCAAUAUUGCUGUUCGGGAGACCAAAUUCUUAUGUGGGGUCAGCCUUGAAGUGACCUUCUUGAAAGAUGAGUUGAUGCGGUUGGAGGGCUACCUCAAAGACGCCGAGAGCAAACGAAGAUCUGGAAAUGCAAGAGUUGGUAUCUUGGUGAGCCAGAUCAGGGAUGCUGCAUAUGAGGCUGAGAAUGUUAUCGAAGCUGCAGAUUACAUGAAGAAGAGAAACAUGAUAAAAAAUGGCUUCAUGGGUGCAAUUUCAAGGUAUGCUCGCUUACCGAGUGACUUGAAUACCCUUCACAAAAUUGGUGUUGAAAUUUAG